rnacentral:rRNA from 1 species
UACGAAGGGGGCUAGCGUUGUUCGGAAUACUGGGCGUAAAGCGUGCGCAGGCGGCCUUCCAAGUCAGGGGUGAAAGCCCCAGAGCUCAACUCUGGAAUUGCCUUUGAGACUGUGAGGCUUGAGUACGGGAGAGGUGAGUGGAAUUCCCAGUGUAGAGGUGAAAUUCGUAGAUAUUGGGAAGAACACCGGUGGCGAAGGCGGCUCACUGGCCCGAAACUGACGCUCAUGCACGGACAGCGUGGGGAUCAAACAGG